UUAUUCAACUACAAGAACUUA
rnacentral:tRNA from 1 species